rnacentral:rRNA from 1 species
GAUGAACGCUGGCGGCGUGCCUAAUACAUGCAAGUCGAGCGAAUGGAUUAAGAGCUUGCACUUAUGAAGUUAGCGGCGGACGGGUGAGUAACACGUGGGUAACCUGCCCAUAAGACUGGGAUAACUCCGGGAAACCGGGGCUAAUACCGGACAACAUUUUGAACCGCAUGGUUCGAAAUUGAAAGGCGGCUUCGGCUGUCACUUAUGGAUGGACCAGCGUCGCAUUAGCUAGUUGGUGAGGUAACGGCUCACCAAGGCAACGAUGCGUAGCCGACCUGGGAGGGUGAUCGGCCACACUGGGACUGAGACACGGCCCAGACUCCUACGGGAGGCAGCAGUAGGGAAUCUUCCGCAAUGGACGGAAGUCUGACGGAGCAACGCCGCGUGAGUGAUGAAGGCUUUCGGGUCGUAAAACUCUGUUGUUAGGGAAGAACAAGUGCUAGUUGAAUAAGCUGGCACCUUGACGGUACCUAACCAGAAAGCCACGGCUAACUACGUGCCAGCCGCCGCGGUAA